rnacentral:lncRNA from 1 species
CCUCCUCUGCUGAUUCUCUCAUACAUUAUCCAUAAGCGAUUCUAAUUCAAUCUUUCAUUCAGAUUUCGCAAGUUUCACAAAAUUGAACCGGCCACCGUGUUAUUCUGCCGUUACGACGACCUCACCAUUCAGAUGUAUAUGAUUGGGGCUAUCUCUACUCUGUUGGAUUAAUGUGGCAACAAGGUAGGAACAAGGCAUUUGGUUUUUGAGACAUUUUCUUGUAGUGAGAUAGGCUAUACAAUCAAUCAAAUGAUUAUCUUGUA